GGUUGAUCCUGCCAGUAGUCAUAUGCUUGUCUCAAAGAUUAAGCCAUGCAUGUCUAAGUAUAAACUGCUUAUACUGUGAAACUGCGAAUGGCUCAUUAAAUCAGUUAUAGUUUAUUUGAUGGUACCUUUACUCGGAUAACCGUAGUAAUUCUAGAGCUAAUACGUGCGUAAAUCCCGACUUCUGGAAGGGACGUAUUUAUUAGAUAAAAGGCCAGCCGGGCUUGCCCGACCUUAGGCGAAUCAUGAUAACUUCACGAAUCGCACGGCCUUGUGCCGGCGAUGUUUCAUUCAAA
rnacentral:rRNA from 1 species